UGGGCGUAAAGAGCUCGUAGGUGGUUUGUCGCGUCGUUUGUGUUAGCCCGCAGCUUAACUGCGGGACUGCAGGCGAUACGGGCAUAACUUGAGUGCUGUAGGGGAGACUGGAAUUCCUGGUGUAGCGGUGGAAUGCGCAGAUAUCAGGAGGAACACCGAUGGCGAAGGCAGGUCUCUGGGCAGUAACUGACGCUGAGGAGCGAAAGCAUGGGUAGCGAACAGGAUUAGAUACCCUGGUAGUCCAUGCCGUAAACGGUGGGCGCUAGGUGUGAGUCCCUUCCACGGGGUUCGUGCCGUAGCUAACGCAUUAAGCGCCCCGCCUGGGGAGUACGGCCGCAAGGCUAAAACUCAAAGGAAUUGACGGGGGCCCGCACAAGCGGCGGAGCAUGUGGAUUAAUUCGAUGCAACGCGAAGAACCUUACCUGGGCUUGACAUACACCAGAUCGCCGUAGAGAUACGGUUUCCCUUUGUGGUUGGUGUACAGGUGGUGCAUGGUUGUCGUCAGCUCGUGUCGUGAGAUGUUGGGUUAAGUCCCGCAACGAGCGCAACCCUUGUCUUAUGUUGCCAGCAAUUCGGUUGGGGACUCGUGAGAGACUGCCGGGGUUAACUCGGAGGAAGGUGGGGAUGACGUCAAAUCAUCAUGCCCCUUAUGUCCAGGGCUUCACACAUGCUACAAUGGUCGGUACAACGCGUCUGCGAGCCUGUGAGGGUGAGCUAAUCGCUGUAAAGCCGGUCGUAGUUCGGAUUGGGGUCUGCAACUCGACCCCAUGAAGUCGGAGUCGCUAGUA
rnacentral:rRNA from 1 species